UCUUGGUCAUUUAGAGGAAGUAAAAGUCGUAACAAGGUCUCCGUUGGUGAACCAGCGGAGGGAUCAUUACCGAGUUUACAACUCCCAAACCCAAUGUGAACGUUACCAAACUGUUGCCUCGGCGGGAUCUCUGCCCCGGGUGCGUCGCAGCCCCGGACCAAGGCGCCCGCCGGAGGACCAACCAAAACUCUUAUUGUAUACCCCCUCGCGGGUUUUUUUUAUAAUCUGAGCCUUCUCGGCGCCUCUCGUAGGCGUUUCGAAAAUGAAUCAAAACUUUCAACAACGGAUCUCUUGGUUCUGGCAUCGAUGAAGAACGCAGCGAAAUGCGAUAAGUAAUGUGAAUUGCAGAAUUCAGUGAAUCAUCGAAUCUUUGAACGCACAUUGCGCCCGCCAGUAUUCUGGCGGGCAUGCCUGUCCGAGCGUCAUUUCAACCCUCGAACCCCUCCGGGGGGUCGGCGUUGGGGAUCGGCCCUGCCUUGGCGGUGGCCGUCUCCGAAAUACAGUGGCGGUCUCGCCGCAGCCUCUCCUGCGCAGUAGUUUGCACACUCGCAUCGGGAGCGCGGCGCGUCCACAGCCGUUAAACACCCAACUUCUGAAAUGUUGACCUCGGAUCAGGUAGGAAUACCCGCUGAACUUAAGCAUAUCAAUAAGCGGGAGGAA
rnacentral:rRNA from 1 species